CCAGGCUCUCCUCGAUCCAAACCUUAGGUUACUAUAAGUUGCACACUAAUAAAUUCAUCUUCAUGGUGAUUCUUUUACCUAUCUGAACAAGAAAGUAGUACGUAGCUGAAUCCAAAGGGUUUUUGAACCAAAAACAUGUGCCUCUCAGAAGCAUAGAAAGAAAGAUGCAAGUUCAUCCAUCAUUUCACAACUAUCGGUAAAACGCUGCUUUGUCUUUUGGCAACCUAACAGUGACUUACAACUGUUGCAUGAAUGUUGAAUUCAGAGAGUGGACUGCCAUUGCUUCCCUGUAAAUUUCUUCUUACAGCUUACAAGUCAUGGUGCAUUGUCCCCAUCUCUAGAUGCUAUAUCCAUGUCAAUGUAAAAAGAGAAGGGUAAGAAAAGGUAAAAUGGAAUAUUGGAAUUUGUUAUACAUGAACUCAGGCUGUGUAUGAGGAAACAGAGAAAGAGAAUUAUUUUUUGA
rnacentral:sRNA from 1 species